GUUCGCACGCGUGUUUUCAAUAUAUUUUUCAUUUUUGCCUGUGUGUAGGCUGAAAAAUAUUAGUUUUUCUAAUUUUUUUGUCAUUUUAGCGAUUUUAAACAUUAAUUGAAGUAUCACACAUGAAAGGUAUAAGCCAACUGGAAGUUUGAAAAUCAUUAUAUCAGCUGUAUGGGGGUCAGGGGAAGUACUGAACCAAUUUCAAUUUUUUACACAAGGCACAUUUUUAUCGUAAAAACUCAGCUAUAGGUACUGCAGACCACAAUUCUAGGCACCCCGUCUAACGGUCAAUAUACAGAUGAUCAAAAAUAUUCAUACCCGAGAUGACACAUCCGUUGCGACCUCUACUCACCGUUCUUUCUGCUAAUGCUGCUAAUAUUUGAUUUGAAUUAAGUUGCACAUAUAUUCGGACCGUCCAUAUCGGACUACUAUACGAGUAGCAUAUAGCUGUCAUUCAAACUGAACCCUCAAAAUCGAGUCCUUGUAUGGAAAACAAUUUUAUUUAAUAUUUGGCAUGGAUUAUUAUUGAAGGCUACAGAACAAUCUCCGAAGAAAUUGUACAGAUCAGACUAUUACGUAUAUCGUAUAGCUGCCAAAUCAAAAUCAAGUUCUUGUAAGAAAACUUGAACCUGUAAAGGAUUUAUAGCUUUAAUGCUGCCGUAGUAAACGUUUCUCCUCGUUUCUUUUUUCAUUUCAAUAAGAUAUCUAACAAAAUUUCUAA